CGGUUAUACGAGAGGCCCCAGUUGAUAGUAGUGCGGCGUAAAGGGUGGUUAAGGGCGAAACAAUAAUAAAGCCGAAUGGCCCUUUGGCCGUCAUACGCUCCUAGGUGUCCGAAGCCCAACCCAACGAAAGUAGCUUUAAAAACCCGCCUGACCCCACGAAAGCUGAGAAACAAACUGGGAUUAGAUACCCCACUAUGCUCAGCCAUAAACCAAGACAUCCAACUACAAUCAGGUGUCCGCCAGGGUACUACGAGCAUCAGCUUAAAACCCAAAGGACUGACGGUGCCUUAGAUCCCCCUAGAGGAGCCUGUUCUAGAACCGAUAACCCCCGUUAAACCUCACCACUUCUAGCCACAACAGCCUAUAUACCGCCGUCGCCAGCUUACCCUGUGAAGGCAAUAGAAGUAAGCAAAAUGGGCACAACCCAAAACGUCAGGUCGAGGUGUAGCGUACGAAGCGGGAAGAAAUGGGCUACAUUUUCUGCUACAGAACACUACGGACAUGCAACAUGAAAUAGUGCUUGAAGGAGGAUUUAGUAGUAAAAAGGAAGCAGAGUGUCCUUUUGAACCCGGCUCUAAGGCGCGUACACACCGCCCGUCACUCUCCCCUGUCAACACGCAUCAAAGUUACAUAACACCAAAGCACUGACAAGGGGAGGCAAGUCGUAACAUGGUAAGUGUACCGGAAGGUGCACUUGG
rnacentral:rRNA from 1 species